AUACUUACCUGGCAGGGGAGAUACCAUGAUCAAGAGCGUGGUUCACCCAGGGCGAGGCUCAUCCAUUGCACUCCGGUUGUGCUGACCCCUACGAAUUCCCCAAAUGUGGGAAUCUCGACUGCAUAAUUUCUGGUAGUGGGGGACUGCGUACGCGCUCUCCCCUG